CAUCGCUCCAACGCUCAGCGCCCAUAAUUUGCUCAACUUCCCAGCUCCAUCGCAGCUAAAGUUGUGGGAAGCUGCUCCUCCUAGAUGCAAUCCACUGAAGACUCCAAAAGGACAGGGAAAACACCAGAGUAACAAGGACAACAUCCACCUGUAAAAGAAAAAUAAAGUAUAUCAAACAGG
rnacentral:lncRNA from 1 species